GACGAACGCUGGCGGCGUGCUUAACACAUGCAAGUCGAACGAUGAAGCCUAGCUUGCUAGGUGGAUUAGUGGCGAACGGGUGAGUAAUACGUGAGUAACCUACCUUUAACUCUGGGAUAAGCCUGGGAAACUGGGUCUAAUACCGGAUACGACCAAUCUCCGCAUGGGGUGUUGGUGGAAAGCGUUAUGUAGUGGUUAUAGAUGGGCUCACGGCCUAUCAGCUUGUUGGUGAGGUAACGGCUCACCAAGGCGACGACGGGUAGCCGGCCUGAGAGGGUGACCGGCCACACUGGGACUGAGACACGGCCCAGACUCCUACGGGAGGCAGCAGUGGGGAAUAUUGCACAAUGGGCGCAAGCCUGAUGCAGCGACGCCGCGUGAGGGAUGACGGCCUUCGGGUUGUAAACCUCUGUUAGCAGGGAAGAAGAGAGAUUGACGGUACCUGCAGAGAAAGCGCCGGCUAACUACGUGCCAGCAGCCGCGGUAAUACGUAGGGCGCGAGCGUUGUCCGGAAUUAUUGGGCGUAAAGAGCUUGUAGGGCGGUUUGUCGCGUCUGCUGUGAAAGGCCGGGGCUUAACCCCGUGUAUUGCAGUGGGUACGGGCAGACUAGAGUGCAGUAGGGGAGACUGGAAUUCCUGGUGUAGCGGUGGAAUGCGCAGAUAUCAGGAGGAACACCGAUGGCGAAGGCAGGUCUCUGGGCUGUAACUGACGCUGAGAAGCGAAAGCAUGGGGAGCGAACAGGAUUAGAUACCCUGGUAGUCCAUGCCGUAAACGUUGGGCACUAGGUGUGGGGGACAUUCCACGUUUUCCGCGCCGUAGCUAACGCAUUAAGUGCCCGCCUGGGGAGUACGGCCGCAAGGCUAAAACUCAAAGAAAUUGACGGGGGCCCGCACAAGCGGCGGAGCAUGCGGAUUAAUUCGAUGCAACGCGAAGAACCUUACCAAGGCUUGACAUAUACUGGACCGCAUCAGAGAUGGUGUUUCCCUUCGGGGCUGGUAUACAGGUGGUGCAUGGUUGUCGUCAGCUCGUGUCGUGAGAUGUUGGGUUAAGUCCCGCAACGAGCGCAACCCUCGUUCUAUGUUGCCAGCACGUUAUGGUGGGGACUCAUAGGAGACUGCCGGGGUCAACUCGGAGGAAGGUGGGGAUGACGUCAAAUCAUCAUGCCCCUUAUGUCUUGGGCUUCACGCAUGCUACAAUGGCCGGUACAGAGGGUUGCGAUACUGUGAGGUGGAGCUAAUCCCUAAAAGCCGGUCUCAGUUCGGAUUGGGGUCUGCAACUCGACCCCAUGAAGUCGGAGUCGCUAGUAAUCGCAGAUCAGCAACGCUGCGGUGAAUACGUUCCCGGGCCU
rnacentral:rRNA from 1 species